rnacentral:lncRNA from 1 species
UGGCUGCCUGGGUGGAGGAUGACCACCAGCAGCUUGAAUAGUAAGCAACACGAUGGUGGCCUGGGUGUUGACGGCGAAGGACGCCAGCAUCACCUUGUUCAAGAUGUCAUCCUUUACCCGGUGCAGCUGCUUGGACAGGUCCCCUGCUUUGAUGAGGCGGCGGAUGGUGCUCCUCUCCUGGCAGGCAGUGACGAGCUCGAGGGCGUGCUGGAGGCUCUCCUCCAGAUCCUCCAGCGCGCCGCUCAGCGCCGGGCUAUCGUUCAUCAAACCUGUUUGCUGCAGCUGCGACAGGAUGGCGCUGAAUCUGAGCACCCGCUUCCUGAUCUCGCGGCACUCCUCCUCGUUGUGGCGAACCGUGUCCACGGCCUCCUUGAUCUUGAGCCCGAUCUUGACGAUCUUCUCCACGCCGGCCACCGGAUCAGCCAUCGAUCUAAGCCCCUCUUCCCGCACAGGACUAAUCUAAGCACUGAACAAUUACACACGCAACCGAAGUCAUGAGCAAAUUAAGAUCUGAAAAUCUUUCUAAACCGAGUCAUAUGUAGCAAUCAAACAAUAAUCAAUUGUGUUCACCUGUAGAUUCCUCCUAGCAUUUGCGCGUUGUGCACAUCUAGCAGCGUGGCCACACCAUUUACUCGUUUUCGAAAAGACUCAAUCAUGAGUACUACAAGAAGCCCAGUGCAGUGGACGAAAGACGUGUUUUGAUGCCUGAUAGGGAUGGUCAAUAUUAUCAUGCUUACUUGGGUCAAGUCUUCUCCAAGAAGGCCUUUAAUUGUUUGUGGGGACGGAGAUGUGGCAAGUGGAGCUACAACUAGUAGCCGCCAUCAUCAAUGGCAUUGCGAUCUUUUUAGCCCAUUUUGAUGUAAUAUUUCAGUAAUUAUAUCUUCCGAACAUAUUUUUCAAGAUAUAUACUCCUGUCAGCUAUGGCAUGAGCCUUGGUGUCCCUAAUGGGGUAUAGAAAUUUAGUAAGAGAAAGGUUUUGUUAAAAUAUUAUAUUAAAUGGGAUAUAAUAGAAUAGAAUCAACUUCCUUCCACAUCCAUGGCGUCAUGUGCUCUGUGAGUCUGUGUUACCUUGGUACAGCUCGCGAGCCAAAACGAGCUGACUCGAGCUUUUAACGAGUCGAGCCGGCUCGUUAUCUAAGGGAGCUGGAGCGAGCCGCAUCCACCUCGUGUGGCUAGAAGAGUCCAGCACGAAUGUAUACAAACAUAGCAUGGGUACCUUGCGCAAAAUCGAACAAAAAGUCGUGGAACUUUUGUAAAAUGUAUUCCAUUUUACUAGUUAGCUGGAAGAUCUGUGACAAAUCCUCGAUUAGACCCAUCUGUGCCAUCCAGGCUCGAUCUGACAGCCCAGGGGUCCUCCUGCCGCGGCUUAUGGGCGUGAUCCUAUGUGUGCAAUUGUAUAUAUGUUCAGAGAAGCAGCAUGUGUCAUUGUGAACAAAAGAAAGCAACCAGGAUACACUCAAUCAGUACAUUAUGAGCGUGAUUGGUUGCAGUUCAAGGAGAGGUCCAGAAUGGUGACGAGAUUCAGACUCAUCAUGUCCAGCACAGAAGCGUACAUGCAGACUUGAUUGGGUUGCGUAUAGCCUGAGCUAGAAUGGAAAGAGUUGUUGAUUGGUUGGCUUCAUGAAAGGCUGCUUUGUGUGGUUGCAAGUGGAGCCUAUUGUCCUGCUUGUAUCAUCUCAUCCUAGCUGGUGAGGGAAGGCCAAAUUUUGCGUACAAUGCUGGCCGGAAUGGAAGGGGGAAUCCAAACGAGGCCAUGCAGCAAAAAUAUGCAGCCCUAGCAACCAAUCAAAGCUAACCUGCACCGUGCGGACCGGGAUGGUGCGAGCUGGGCUACCAAUCACCCCCUAUAUGCACAAAACGAAAGCAAGAAGAUUCAAAAUUGUAUCCAUCCUAGUUACAAGCAGACUGAUGGAUCGAUAGCAGAUCGAGUUCAGAAGUAAUCUCUCAGCCGUAUUCUCACCAACGCAUCGAAAGAUUGGAUAGAGUUAUAGAUGAAUGAUGCACGGUGGAUGCAGAGCCAUACAAGCUAGGCAGUCGAUUUGAUGUACGCUGGUUUCUCUGGUGUCGGCAGUUCUUUCUCGCCAUUGAGCAUCAGAAGAACAUCUUCCAUGGUGGGGCGGUCUGCCGACUCAUGCUGAGCGCACAGCAGGCCUAUCUGUAUGCACCUUUUUAUCUCCACUAGCUGAGGCUCGGCAAACAGUGCCGGAUCAAACUUCCGUCGACCUUCGAGAGCCUUCCAAGCCUGACAGUAUUCCACAUCAGGAAAAAAACAAGCAUAAUAUAAGCACGGUUUCUCUCGAUCGAGGGACAACAUAUCCGUGUUAAUAAUCCAUAGAUGUACCUCUAAAGUGUACACAAAAUUCCACUAAAAAUCAUGGAUAGAUGGUGCAUGCUAACAUCUAAAGUUACGCAAAAAUUGAACUUUAAUUGGAAAGAACAUACAAGAAGAAAUAACUUUCUAGUGGAAUUCUGCACAAGUUUUAUUCCAACCUUUAAUCUUGCAUGACAGUAGAUGAUCUAUAUUAGCUAUUUUUAGUGGAAUUUUGCAUGCACUCCCCAUCGAUCAUGUUUGUGGAAUUUUUUUUACACAGGCUCACCAAGGAACAAUAACAGAUCCAUGUUCGUGGUGCGUGUCAGCACGUACCCAUCGGUGUAGAUGGAAUUCUCUUGGUUGGUUAUGUCGUCUUCGGAUUCCACUUACAGUCUCAAGGAGGGUGACGCCAAAACCGUACACAUCGUUCAUCAUUGACACAACACCGUCUGUCAGAUAUUCUGGAGCUAUAUAUUGACUGAACAGUUAAAAAUCAAAAUUUACAUCAGCAAAAGAUAAUAAAUGAGAAAAAGAAGGAAUUAACUAAACCUCCAUGCAAUGGAGAUACCUAAAGGAAUGAGAUCUUACAAUGUGCCUGCUGUGAUGAUCUCGCCCUCCAAUUGAUUACCAUUCAAUACUUUCGCUACUUCAAAAUCAGUAAUCUUAGGAUUCAUGUGGGAAUCCAAGACGAUGUUUGUUGGUUUCAGGUCCAAAUGGACAACACGUUGCUCAUGUAGGUACCUUACGCCCUGAGCUAUGCCCUCAAUUAUCCGGAUGAGGGAGGACCAAUCAAAUCGGGGCUCUGCAUAGUGUCACAAUGAAGCAACAACUAUGUAUCAAUCAGUUAGUUGAACCACACAAAUAGUUAAUUAAGAGAUUAAAAGCUGUCGAUAUUUCAAUGGAAACAUGCCUUUGCAAUGAAUAAUCUCGUGCAAGGUUCCCAUUGGAACAUAUUCCUCGACCCAGAUAUAUUCUCUGUCCUUAACAGCUCCAUUCUCGUGGGAGUAUCCCAGAACUUGCACUACAUUCUUGUGCUGAAGCUUUGAAGCAAGAAGAAGUUGCUCGUAGGUGUGCGCCCAACCCAAGCGAGGUGCCCAACGGAAUUUCUUGAUGGCAAUCACACUCUGGUCAUCUAAUACACCCUGGUACAUGAUGGAUUCAUGUUACUAUAGCUAGUCUUUACUAAAAUAUGCAGGAAUGGCACAUCUUUAUACAAAGAAGAAAUUAAAAUUUCUAAUAAUAAUGACCUAUACAAUGUAACAUGAAUCUUUCAUGACGCCUGAAACCAAGAAGAUUAAACGAAUCUACUUAUACAGCCCUGCCGAUUUGGCGCUUGACCAAUCCGACCCUUGUCUGAAAUGCUGAAUUCAUCUUUCUGGAAUUCAAAUUUGCUAGUGUGGAAGUCAGAGUAUAAUCAAAAGCAGUUUGUUGUCCAUAGGAUAGAUGUAUCGCUGAUGGUUUUUGUUAACAAAAUCACUUUUGAUAAUGGAGUUACCAUAAAAAAACAAUUUGUGAUAAGUGGAGUUAUCAUAUUAAAACGACGUAUUACUAAGAUGGUCCUAGUAGCCAUUGGACAUGCAUUAGCACUUACAUUAAUUUGUACCCUGCCUACCGUACCAAGGAUCAAAUUCUAGGUUUUGCGUUACGUGUGUCUCAUCCCUUUCUAGGAGAUUCCAAUAUUGCAAUACAAACUGAAUAAUCCAAAACAAAAGGCAUAUGAAGUACCUUGUAGACAGUAGCUAUGCCACCUCGGCCGAUGAUAUUGCUGUCUGAAAAUCCAUUGGUAGCGGCCUUCAACUCAGACAACCCAAACUCUCUUAAGGUUAUUGCUGUGGAAACAACACAUAUAUACCAAGUUUAGAAUUUAGAUUAUGCAAACCUGAAUGAACAGUGUAUGCAGUCACAAUAUUUAUCUUUUAGGAAAAAUGGAAAAUUCAUAUAUAAUAUCUAUUUUUUGAUCGGGUGUUCUGCAGUUGGGUCUGCAUAGUCAAUAGCCAAACUACUACACCAUGGCAUGCGUUCCGAGUUGUUUGUGCCUAUCAACCCAGCCGUCAUAACAAUAAUGCUGGGAGCAUCACUUGAUGUAGAUAGGUUAUGUUACUUUGGUCGUACUGCAAAAAAGGCUUUGGAUUUAAUUAGUAGCAUGAUCUAGUGGAUGCACAUAAAUGAGGGGGAGACGUAAUGCAUCAACUGAAGCCUAAGGAAUCCAGGUCUUAAAAAGUUUUUGAACUUUGAACUGGACGAUUGCUCCACAGGACAAAUUACAAAAAUGGUGCAUGACUUCAUUUUUCAGAGCACCAGGAAGUCUAGUGGGUUCGGCAGAAUAUUUGGUAGGCAUCCAAUGAUGUCUUCUGAGGGGAGCGACAGCAUUGAACCAUAUAAAAUGUGACUGUGCGAUGGGCGCUGCUGGACCAUACAAUGCUGCACGUGGACUGUCUAGUGGUGUCUUUUUCUUCUUGCACCAUCUCGCUCUGCUUCUGAGCUUCUCCAUUCCAACUCUGUGGCAAUCAACAACCAAGAUAGGCUUCCAGCAUUCUCCCACCUUGCAAUAUAAUGAAGGUCAUGGUGGAAGCGUGGAGAGCCCAUAUCUUGGAACUUAGUGGGGGUGGCCAAGGAGUUCGGAUCCGGUUGCAACGCGUACGGUGUCCAUGGAGCUCAGCUUGAUGUUGGCCUGAGAACGGGGGCGAUGGCAUCCAUGGAGCCCACAACGAUGGAUUUUGAAAACUGCAGGGAUGUCUUGUCUAGGCUCCUGGAGAUCAAUGUUGUGCUCCUGGAGAUCACGUAAGUGGCUUAAAUCUUGUCUAGGCUAGAGAAAUCUUUUGGUCAUGGUUGUAGCUGUCUGGUGUGAACGGAAUAACGGAUACGUUGUUUUUAUGGUUGAUCGAUGCAGUCCAAGGGAAGAAUUAUUAUUGUCAAGAUCUAAUGAUAAGAUUAUGUCAUGGGACAAGGGAGGUAGGAUUGGUAGCUACUUGAGAAUUGAGACGGUGUCAAGUUCGGAUGAACAAUUGGAAGCUUUUGUGGGAAAAAAUACUCCAACCAUUUCGAAUUAUAGGUCGUUUUGACUUUUCUAGGUUCAUAGGUGUUUGUAUGUAUCUAGACAUACACUAUAUUUAGAUGCAUACAAACACCUAUAAACCUGCUAGAAAAGCCAAAACAACAUAUAAUUUGGGACGGAGGGAGUAAUUAACAAAAUAAAGAAUCCAAUCUUACCUGCUAAGGGAGGAAGCAGGGCCUCAGAUCCUCCUGGUACGCUAUUUUCCUCACCGUUCUGUUCAGAUCUGCCAUUGCCAGCGUUAUUCAACAAAAGCAACUUCCUCUUAUGUUGGAGAAAAAACAUAAAAAACCAGAGAGAUAUCUGAAAAAAGCACUAGUAAGAUGAAGUGCACAGCCCCUAUCUUUUUAAUUAUAUUUCAUCAAGUUGCUAAUGUAUGUGGAUAUUUACAUACAAGGUUUUAAACAGCUUAAAUGAAUUCGAUGAUGCAACUGCUAUGUGCAGCGACAUAAUUUGUUAGUUUAUUGAAUUGUACAGUUAAUUUUCAAUUUACUCUGGAUGGUAGUCGCAAAUUUGAUAAGACGUCCAAUAUACUUUAUUUGCCUAUCUUAGAUCACACAGUGCCACGGCAAAGAGGGAUACAUUUGCAUAAUGGAUAUCUGACCUAAUAUCCUCAGAUGAAUGAUUGUCAUGGGAUAUCUCCAUCAGACCACUUUCCUGAAAAAGCAUGACGAUUCACAUCUUUAUUUUAAAUAAUAAAACUGUGUGUAUCCCUCGAUGAAUAUAUCCAACACAAAUUAUCCUAUUAGGCAGUACUCCUAUAUAUGUGCAUUGGUGCAAAUACUCUUCGUAUGGCAGAAUUAUUCUAGGCCUUUUUUGUUAUUCUCUGAACUAACCAAGAGGCAAUUAAACUAGAAACUAAUUUAGAAACAUAUGGGAGUAGGUUAGCAUACUGUUCACAGCUCCAUAAAAUUUGAACCUGCAGGGUUAAAAACCUUGCUGAUUCUUCGAAACUUGCUGAACGAUGUUUCAGAAACUACUGAUAGACCCUCUCUCCAAGCAUAAUGCACCGUACCUCUGGUUGCCGUAGCGGAUCAGGACGAAUACCAGUAUGAAUGGUGAACAACAUAAUGGUGCUAUUGGUGUUGAUGGCGAAGGACGCCAGCAUCACUUUGUUCAGGAUGUCAUCCUUCACUUCGCGCAGCUGCUUGGACAGGUCCCCGGCCGUGAUGAAGCGGCGGAUGGUGCUUCGUCUCUCCUGGCAGGACGUGACGAGCUCGAGGCCGCGUUCGAGCGUCUCCUCAAGAUCCUCCAGGGGGCCACUCAUGGCCGGGUUGUUGUUUAGCAUCCCCGUCUGCUGCAACUGCGACAGGAUGUCGCUGAACCUGAGCACCCGCUUCCUGAUCUCUAGGCAAACCUCCUUGUUCUUGCGAACCGUGUCCACUGCCUGCUUGAUCUUGAGCCCGAUCUUGACGAUCUUCUCAACGCUGGCCACCGGAUCAGCCAUCGAUCUCUGUAAUUACGUGGAAUACACACGCGAGACUGAACUGAACUCAAGAUCACAUUAUGGUCGAUCGGUAAAGCUCUCUCAACCUGUCCGUGCAAGCAGCAGUCAAAUGAAUUGAUCGAUUCUUCGUUCUCACCUCUGCUAGCUUCCUGCACCCAGCAAUCGAGAUAGCUGUCGGUCUUGUGUUAGCCGGCUGCGGCAACUCCGCUCUACUCUGCUCCGAGCAUGAGUUACACUCACUACCAAUCACUACUCAUUUCCCCCAGAAACUACUGUCCAAUUGCAACAAAGACAGAAUACUCGUGCUCUGGCCACUAUACUCUGGGUUUGCCAUGUUGCUUCCUGGGCCUGGUGAGGUGAUAGGCACGGCGAUGGCGAUGGCGAUGGCGAUGCAGGGAAAAGGAAUUAAUGCAAGUUCUACUCGUCAACAGGGAAGGAAAACCGUGUCGACUACUCGGGGUCAAGUCAACAGGGCCCAAUUUUUUUCCGUUUUGCUGGUUAGCAGUGUCUACAGUCUAGUAUCCUGUAUGCCUCGACUAUGGGGGCCUUUGGCAGGGUUCCCGCUCGGCUCCCACAGCGACUUGUAGCGGAAUCCUGACUAAGCCCUCUUUGGCAUGAUUUAUUUUAGUUUUGACUUCAUCUUAUUUCACGCAAAUCAAGAUACCGUAGCGCGAAGCUGUUUUGUAAAAGAAGUCUUUUUGACUUCAUCAGUUUCAUCAGUUUUGGUUUCACCGAUGAAGCUGUUUUGGGACGGGCGUGCUAAAAGGAGCUAAUGCCCACCGAGAAAACGGCUUCGGUGCCGAAGCCAUCCCGAAGCCGGUCUCAAGAAUGAACUAGCGACCCGGAGAAAAAAAAAAGUAGCGCCUCCGGCUCCUUCCUCUCCCCACAGGCACAAGAACGAAAUUGCCGCGAAAUUGCCCCGGCAAUUCAGUAACUAUUACAGAUAAAAUGUCACCGGCCUCCUCUCUCUCACCGUCGGCGUGGCUGCAAGCAGCCGGACGACCACCGGCGGCUGACCUGGAGGCGUUCCCCCGCCCCAUUCCAGCCCCUAUCGGCGUCAGCGCAGCCGCGCAUCCCGGCGGCCCGGCCUCGCCUUGCUGUAGCGGGUUCCUCGCGGCUCGCGCGGCUUGGGCAGCGGUGGCAGGGCAGCAGCGCCGAGGCGGGGUUGCUGCAGCACAUGGUGAGGGAGGGGCACGGCUGGGGACAGAGCAUGGCAUGGAAAGAUAAGAAGCAAGGACGGCGUGGAAAGAUAAGGAAGGGAAGGGAAAAAUAAAAAAUAAAGAAAAAAUAAAGGACGGCUGGACUCUCUGGGCUGGGCUUGUGCUCGCCGACAGUCCAGGUGGCGCGCGGCAGCGUUGGUGAAGCGGGCUUUGCUGCAGAAGCUCGCAACAUGUCAGGCAGGGAUCGCACCACCGCCGGCGACGCCGAAGUGAGCAAGGCGCCGGUCGAGAGCCACCGCGCCGCGGCCACCGGCCAGCUGCCGCGCGCGCCUGGCGAGGCAGAGGCUGCUCGGAUGCUCCCGAUCUGUGCCGCCCAGGCUCGAUCGGACGGCUGGUGGGCGCCCAGGGGGUGGACGGUAAAUGAAAUACCGUCCGCCCAUUGGGUCCCGCCGGCGCGGCGCUGUCCCGAUCUCCCGGCCCCUUCAUCGAGAGCACCUCGGAGUCUCGCCUUCUUGCACCUGCUCCUCCUCGUGUGGUGCGAUAGCCGGAGGCGAAGAGGCCGACGACCGCGACGGGGUGCUGGGCGUGGCGGGACGGCAACGGCAUGCUCGCCGCCGACCUUUGCGCAUGCGCGUGGAGACGCAAUCGAAGAGCGAAGAUUCACCGAGCGAAGAAGAAUCGCAGAGCUCACCGGUGCCAGACUGUCAUCAGGUUGAAUCUGAAUCUGAACACCUUGCAUGGCAUCUUAGUAGCCAUAUUGUUCUGAAAGUUGUAUAUAUGCCAUGUCAUGUCCAAUUAUAGACAUCCAAAUCUUCACCAUGAACUUGUCUGCACUGCUGUUGGAGCCCAGGCAGCCACAGUGAGGAGACCUCUUGCAUACUCUCGUGCAGACCCAGCUGCUCCAAACUGUCCAACUUCUCAAUACACGUCAAGCAUGGAGAACCCACCACACGCAGCUCUCUUGCUUGUGGUAGAUUCGACACCCUCUCCAGACUUUCACAAAACGCAAGUUGAAGAUCAGCUGACCAUAUAUGUAUGAGUUUGAUGCUUCAGUCAAUACACUUGUUAUCAAGGGUGUGUAUGUCUUGAAUUUUGCUUAUAUCUCAAUACACUGAAAGGGUAUAUUCGCAUCUCGGUUGGGAAACCCGAGCACACUGAUGCACAAAUGAAGGGCCUGAAUGCACGUACUUCAAUUGUGAGCUUUUGCACACCAUCACAUUAAUGUAAACAAUGGAGUACUUAACGGAUAUAUAUCCGUCAGGUUGGAUGCAGCCUAUAAGAGGAGAUUGCUGUCAAGCCCAAACAGACAAGGGUCAAGUGGGGUUCACUAUCUUUUUGUUUGUUUGAGAAGUUGAAGUCUGGGUUUUUUUAUUCAGCGACGGAACAACUAUUCACAAGAUCAUUGCGUUCAGAACAAGUGUUGCAGUUGAAUUCCUGGUGGGUGGUUUGUGAUGUUGAGUUGCUUGUUUGGCUGUUGAUGAGAGAACUGAAAAUUCUGUAGCCUGUAGGUAAAUAAAGGCCAACAUAUAUAGCAAUGCAAUGCUGUUGUCUUAGUACUUUGUAUCAAAGGUCAUUAGACAUUGCAAGCUUCAACCAAAUAAAGGAAGGAAAGUUGGAAAAUGGAACGAGUUUUCAUCCAUAACCGCCAUGACGGCAAUGUCAUUUUACGUGACUUUUAUUUGUGGUGAUCGAUCGACAUAUGUAUAGUCGCAGAGGAGGCUGAGGCAGCAGCUGGCUUCGCACAAUGCAGCUGCAUCUUUUCAUGUAUGCUCACUGGUACUGGCCCGCGAGCUUGCCUUCCUUGACGAUGUAAUUCUGCACCGGGAAAUCCUGGCCCUUGAAGUACCUCUCUAGCAUGUCCUUCACCCCCGCCGCAUACCUCAGCUGCACCAAAUCGUGGCAUAAACAUCUUCGUCGUCCUAGUCCUAUGUAGUAGCUAGUGUUUACUGACCUGGCCAUCAAUGGUGGUGCCGGAGAUGUGAGGGGUCAUGGCGUUGUUCGGCAUGUAGCGCCACGGGUGGUCCUUGGGCGCAGGCUGAGGGUGCCACACAUCGCCGCCGUAUCCUGAUCAUCAGACAUACAAGAGUUUGAGACGUACGGAUCAGUCUGGUGAGGAUGCCACGGUGCUAAUCAGCUGAAAAUGAGCAGUAAAUAAACAACAGCUAGUACAUACCAGCGAUGUGCCCGGUGGCGCAAGCGUCCGCCACGGCCUGCGUGUCCAUGAUCGCGCCUCGGGCGUUGUUCACGAUGAUCACGCCUUUCUUCAUCCUCGCGAUCCUCUCCUUGUCGAACAUGCCUCUGGCCAAAGGAAGCAACAAGCGGUUAAUGCAUGAGAACCAAGCAGAUGGCAGCAGUGCUCAUAUAAUGAGAACCAAGCAGAUGACCUUGUUUUCUCGGUGAGCGGCAUGUUGAGCACGACGACGUCGCACUUGGGCAGCAUGGCGUCGAGCUCCGCCUCGAACUGGGCGCCGGUCUCCGCCUCCAGCGCCGGGUCGAUCCGGAGCCUGUCGUGGUAGAGCAGCCUGCAGUUGAACGGCCUGAGGCGCUGCAGCAGCAGGCGCCCGAUCCGGCCGGCGCCGACGGUGCCCACCGUCUUCCCCUCCAGGUCGUGCGCGCGGUGCGCGACGCCGGCCACGUCCCACUCCCCGCUGAUGACCUGGUGGUGGCCCGGCAGGAAGUUGCGCACGAGGACGAGGACGCGCAUGAGCUGGUCCUCGGCCACCGACACCGUGUUGCUGCCGGUGACCUCGGCGACGGUGAGCCCCGCGGCGGCGGCCGCCGGCAGGUCGACGUGGUCGGAGCCGAUCCCCGCCGUGAGGAGCAGCUCCAGGUUCUUGGCGCGCGCGAUGCGGUCCGCGGUCACGUACGCCGGGUGGAACGGCGUGGUGAUGAGCACGUGCGCGUCCGCGAUGUGCUUCUCCAGCUCUGCAGGCGCGACAGCGAGUUAGCACUGCUAGCACUACUGCUACUCAGUAGUGACGUGUGUGCACGAGCACAACACUGCACGCUUAUAUUACCGCAGUUGGGGCCGUCCUUGUCGUCGGUGACGAUGUACUGGUGGCCCUGCGACUCUAGCCAGCCGCGGAUGCCGAGGGCGUGCUCGGCGCAGCCGACGAAGUUGGGGUUCCGGUCGGCGUACUCGCCGCCCUUGUAGAACACGCCCACGAUCUUCUUGCUGCUGCCGGCGGACGCCUGCUAGCGGUACGGGAAACAGAACGACGACACACAGGUAAGCGGUACGGGAAAUAGAUCAUGGUAAAAUAGAGUAACAAAUUAAACGUGGCGCACAUGAAGGCUCCUCGCAGCGGGCGCAUUGCGCGGGACGUGCGGUCGUCCCAUGGCGAACCGUGUCGCCUGCUGCGCCGCCCUCCUGAUCAUGGACAUGGAGGUGCUGAAACGACUAGAGCUCGAGCUCAACUGGUGUACUCUGGAUCGGUGGUGUUGCACUGAGAUACUGCAGCGAGCGAGUGCGUGUGCGUGGAACAAAGCUUUGAACCGGCUGGCAUUUUAUAGCGCAGGAGACGUGCAGUGGCGAACCUUCUUAACCACGCAGCCGGGCAGGUGCAUCUGGGCGGGAACAGUCAAGUCGAUGAGGCUGCGCAAAGAGCACUCGGGUGGGAGCGGGGAAGGUGAACCUUGCGUUGUCCAACCUAGAUUGGGUGGGUGCACGGGAGGUCGUUCUCACCUCUCGUGCUGGUGUCGCGUCUCUGUGCUAUGGACCGAGCCGCUUGCUCGAUGGCUUGUCCGAGCUCGACGGCGCAGCCGGCGCUUACUAUUUCGUUUCCCACCUUUAUCUCACUUCAGUAUUUUUGAAAAGCUCACGAUUCCUGGAAAACGCUCCAAAGGUUCGUGGAAAUUUGCCUCUAGGGAUAACUCACUGUAGGAUACAGUAUCUUUGCCGAGUGCCAGAGGUACUCGGCAAAAAAAACACUCGGCAAAGGUUUUGCCGAGUGUAACACUCGGUAAACAGCACACGGCGUACAUUUUAACGGCAAACAGCUGUUUGUCGAGUGUCAAUCAUUGGGCACUCGGUAAAGCCUUUUGCCGAGCGUCAGCAAACACUCAGCAACAAUAAACUCUCGGCAAAAAAAAGUUAACGGGAUGGCACGGUGACUGCUUUUACCGAGUGCACGACGGAAAAACACUCGGCAAAGUUUAGAAACUUUGCCGAGUGUCAAGGCGAAAACACUCGGCAAAGGAGCGCGCAACAGCCAGAUUUUAAUGGUUACUUUGCCGAGUGUGAGUGAAAAUACACUCGGCAAAAAAGGUUCGCAGAGUAAUAGAAACUGGCCUCUUUGCCGAGUGUUCCGUUUUGACACUAGGCAAAGCCUAAAGUGACCAAUAUAGUCUUUUUUUAUGGUUCAAGGAUGUAUAACGGACCCUACUCAAACAAAACAUCACAGGCAUAAUCACAAUAAGUAUCACAGGCAUGAUUGACAAUAAGCCACAAGUAAGUCACAAAUCACACGUCACAAGCCACAAGUAAGUCACAAAUCACACAUCACAAGCCACAAGUAAGGCACAAAUGCAAAUGCAAGUCACAAGUAAGGCACAAAUGCAAAUGUAUGUCACAAGACACAACUAAGUCACAAGUAAUCACCGCGGAGGCCCUCCCAACCACUGCGACAAAUCCGGGUCUUGAGGCUGAGUAUUUGAUGACGCCGAUUGAUUCUGCACAAAGGAGAAGAGAUUGCAUGUGUGAGAUAAGAUUGAUAUUUAUAUGUGAUGCACUUAAUAUCUAAGGUUCCUAAAUAAAAACUAAUGUGGCCAAAAACUAUUUUGAGCAAACAUAUCACCUUAAGCUAACAUUUUGAGCUAACAUAUCAUUUUGGCUAACAUUUUGAGCUAACAUAUCAUUUGAGCUAGCAUUUUGAGGUAACAUAUCAUUUUGUGCUAACAUUUAAAGUUCUCUGAGUCAAAGUAUUCAAUUUGCAGUAUAAGGUGUCAAGUGACUCACAGGAGUAGUUGUGGGUGGUUGAGGUGGAGGGAAUAGCAUCGGUGGCGGUGGCAAAGGUUGACCCAUACUCGAUGCAAAACCCUGCAUGUAUUGGAACAUCUGGUCCAUCCUCAUCCGAUUUUCUUCCUCCAUCACAUCCUCGCCUCCAUCUCCUCCCGUUGCUUCGUUUUUGCUUCCACCCAGACCUACAAUAUUCCAUCCCCAUAUUACAACAUUAGGAGGAUCUUCUGUAAGUACUCGUAGUUUAGUCACUACAGUACAUGUGAAUGUUAUAAUGAGAAUUGAUCUGCAUAGGGAUCGAUAUCUCGUUUGAACGGAUCCGAAAAGAUUUCCCCUACUGGCCGAUCCAUUCUCUCCUCGGAUUCCCUGCCUCCCCGUGGCCGCCGGGGCGUGGGAGACGUCUGUGGGCGGCUGGUCGCCCCGGCUCCAGCCUGCAGGUCUUUUCAUCGUCUAAUCAUCUCAGCACGUUCAGCGCAGGCAACACACGGUUCCUGCGAUCACAGUUCACCUCUCGCGGUGCGCCGGAGCCGCAGCCGUAGCCGCUGUACCAAUCCCGAUCGAGCAUGGUGCUGCUACGGGUAGUGUUCUUGAGUGAUUCAUGGAAAAAACUGAAACCUGAUAAACAUAUAACAUCACGACAAGCCGGCAUUAUUGGAAUAGGAGUGGCAGACACAGGCUGCGACGACGACACGAUCGCUACCUGCGCCGCCCGUGAGUUGACGCGGAUAAUGAGCCGGCGACACGGCGCUGACCCCAAUGGAGCGGCAAGUGGCGGAGCAGAGCGCAGGAGCAGACGCGCAGUAGCAGUCCGUGAGCAGAGCACCUGCUUGAGGGCAUGAAAUUAAACCCUGAUCUGGCAGGCGUUCGCACGCCAUAAACCCGGCGCCGCUAAAGCGGCUCCCUCCCCGGCAUGAUGGCCAAUGGCCAAUGCCGAUCGAUCACGCAUUUCCAUCCGGCUUCGGGCGGCCGGGCCGAUCUGGUGCUGCCUCCCUCGUCUGGUGAGGUGAUCACAGCUUUGAUGGUACAUUAAACUUUGAGCUUGCUCCUUGGAAUUAACCUUGGAAUGAUCGAAUCACAUAGUAUCUCAUUCUGAUUUGUUCGCGCGUUAGCUUUAGCUAGCUCUCAGGCUGUGUCAGGCAGUACCAACCAACCAACAGUAGCGCUGAGUUCGAUGCCACCACUGCCACUCCAGUAGUCCAUUGGAGUGGUACAAACGUCAACCAUGACCCAGACACAGCGACACGCCCGGCCCGUGCGGGCAGCGGCCGUGCCCCAUGCCCUCUCCCACCUGCCGCCGCCGCACGUAUACCCGCUUCACUCUUCACAUUCACCCAGCCACACACGCCCGUGCACGCGUACGCAGCACUGUGGCCGGCCCUGCCCGCCCGGUCGGCCGGUCGCGCUCGAGUGCGAGAAGACGCCGCUCGCCGCCGGUAUGUACCAGUGUCACACCGGACUGACGUGGCACAUAAACACAAAAAACAUGCACGUGCACGGCGCCAAAUGAUCUGACUCCACUUUGUGCAUAGUCUGCUGGUUGGGCUUUUUGUGUAGUUGUGUUUCACUUAAUUUGGAGAACCGGAUGUCUUGGCAAAGGUGUAUGUACAUUAUUACUGAUCACUUACAUGGUUAAGGUUAAUUACUGUAGGUGAUUGGUCUCUGGCAUGCGCUGGUGUGGUGCUAGCAAACUCUCCAGUUUGCGAAAUCUUUCUUUUCGAUCUGUGAUAAAAUGGCUUGGAAAACUGGAAAUCUUCUCUGUUUUGUUUGAAAGAAUCGUAGAAUAAUAUCAGUGCCUCCUCCGCUGCAUGAUAAGAUGCUAACGAGAACGUGAUGGUGCAGUGUAAGCUCUUGAUGCGUUAAUUGUUCAACAGGAAUUAUACUGUAAAAUACUGUAUAUGCCAUAAGUGUGAUGCGACUGGCUGCUUAAAUUUUGUUGUAUCUAUUGCUCAAAUUAAACAAGCUGGAGAGAUUUUUUUAGAAUUAAGGAUAAAAUCCGGCUCAGCCAAGGUUACAAGGAGUUCUUAGAUUCUAGUCUUCAACAAUAAGACUCUAGUCCUCAACAAUGAGGAGUUCAAAAUACAAGAAAGAAAACUUCUAAGACAAACAAAAUAAUUAGAAGAGAACAACAGAAAUAGACUAUGGCCACACCCACGUCUGAACGGGCAAAGGCCCGCCCUCCGGCGGAGCCCGUAGAGCAGGGCGGCCCCGACGAGCAAGACGGCCAGACCGCAGGAGGGAGGGCUCGCGGCGUGUUCUCGCCGCAGGACAUCCAGGCGGACGGAGGAGGAUCUUGCGAUGUGUCGGCGACGGGCGCUGAGGAGCAGGCGGGGUCUCAUGGCGCUGUGAGCAACGGGAGGCCGAGGAAGCUGGAAGGAGGGGACAGGGAGAAUGAUGCUGAAGCUGGUGUGGUGCGAGCUGACGAACAAGCGCGGAUUCUGGACCAUGUCUUCUCCAAAGGACGUCAACACCAGGUACAACAGCAACCUCACCUUUGUUCUUCCUCUUCCUGUAAAGGGUCGUGCACACAAGGUGUUCGGUCUUUUGUCGUUGCAAGUUUUGCAAAGGAAAAAGGGGACAGGGGCAUAGUUACUAAUCAAAGUAGACGGCGUUUAACGCUAGCACCACGAUUAGCACCCGCAGAGCAACUUUGCAGCACGAAGAAGGUACAGUCAGUAUUGGCCAGGGAAAAUUUUGAAGAUUCAGAAGUUUUAAGGGAAAGAGGAGGAAUGGAAAAGGAGGAACAGAGUGAGAGAGAGAAGAAGCAAUUCAAAAAAUCGCAGGAUCCUUUGCAAGGUCUCCGAAGGAACGAGACUGGCUCUCGAUUCUGGGCCUUAGCGAAUGAGGACAGUUCUGACGAGGAGGAGGAAAGGGAGGAAGAAAGUGAUAAGAUGAAAAUGGAAAGUAUAGUGGCUGAGGAGAGAAGCUGUUCUUUCCUCUUCUUCCCUAGAGGAAAGAACAGAACUCUCUAGCAGUGGAUCUAGAGAAAAGGGAAUAAAAUUAGUUAAGAAGCAGGAAAGCAAAGAUAGAAGAAAGGGCAAAGACAAAAAACCUGGACAUAUGAUCAAACCAUGGAAAGGCUCUUUACCUCAGAGAAAUUACCCUUUGAAAAUGUCACUAGGUGACAUCAGGGUAAAAGAUCUGCGUGAGGUGGCCCAUCCAUUGGAUCAGAGAAGUCUAGAUAUUUUUUUGGAGGAAGAAUUAAAAGUUAUGUAUGAGGAUAACUACAUAGGGGAGGCUGAUUCAGUGAAGUUAAGGAUGAACACAUUGGAGAAGAAGUGCUCAUCAAAGAAGACGGAGUUUGAAUUCAAAUUUCAAAAAGUUCCAAAGAUUAAAUCAGGGAAAUCAAUAACCUGGGUGGGUAAAACUGGUUUCAUUCAUGUGGGACCACGUGCAGUUUUCCAAUGUACAAAUGGUUUAAGUCAGCUUCUUAAUAAUGGAGGGAAGCUCAAAAGGCAAGACAUUAAAUGUCUGCCCAAGAAUCAAGGGGGUGUUUGGGCUGCCUGGGGUAAAGGGGCGCCAGCCUCUGUGAUUAAUAGCAACUCAUCUGUGCAACAAGCACCCUUUGACAUUCUAACCACAGCUGUCGAGUGUCACAGAGAGAGAACAGAUUGUCAGGAGGAAGAGGAAGAAGGAAAAAUGUUGAGGAGAGGGUUUGGCACAAGAGGAAUAUCAGGAGCUAGGGGAGCACAUGACGAUCAGUUUAACCAGGACCGACUAGAAAUGGGAGCACAAAGAGAAGAUUCAGGAGGCGUCUGGCACUUUGGAGGAAAUCAGAGAAGACAGAUGGAAGCCAGAGCAGGUGGCAGGGAAGGGGCAGGAGAUGGGUAUGGAAGAAGAUUUAUAUCAAGAGAUGGGUCAGGCAAUGAGAGGAAUAGAGAAGGGCAACAACAAGGUUUUGGGAGUCAGAGAGGUCUGCAGGGGCCAGGAGGAUCAAGGGUGGACGUGAGGGUGGAGUCCCUGAGAGGCAGAGGGGGAUGGCGUAGGUGGCAGGAGCGUCCACAAAGAGCAGAAGUGGUGAAGGAAGAGGAUAAAGGAAAGAAGGUGAUAACACGUAAUGGUGAACAGAAAGAAGGAUCGAGGGGGAAAGAUGGGAUGGAUUUCCAGAUGACAGUAGAUGGACUUGGAGAAGAAGAGAAAGGAGAUGACACCAAGUCAGGGAUCAAGUGCUCAAAAUGUGUAAAGAAAGGACAUGUGGCUGCCACGUGCACUAAUCCAGUUUACUGUGUUAUCUGUAACGGUGAUGACCACGUCAAUCACAAAUGUUUGCUGCUAAAGCAGUCUAGGCCAGUGGCACACGCGGUGGGAUACGCUGUCCAUGGGCUUGGUUUCUACCACAUUCCACAUCCACCGCUGUCUAGGAGUAAAAAAGAAUCCAAGAAGGCCCUAAUUAGGGUGGGAGGAGGGAAACUAACCAAGGAGCAGGUGGUUUCACAACUGCAAAGGUUGUACCCAGGAAAGUGGAAUUGGGAACUGGAAGACAAUGAAGAUAACACCUUCAUCACUACAUUUCCCUCAAAAUCUGAACUUCAAAGGGCAAUAGCUUUUGGAGGGGCUGAUGUUAGAGAAGAUGGAGUUUAGACAGGUGUGAGGCUACAAUUUGAAACUUGGCAAGAGAAAGAAGAGGGAUUCCUUUUACCUAAAGUUUGGGUGAGAGUACACGGGCUGAGAAAAUCUCUAAGGCCCCGUUUGGGUCCAAGGAAUUGGAAUCUAUUUAAUGAAGUAGGCUAAUUUAUGUUGGAAUGUGGCAUUUCACGACUUUCCAAAGUUUAGAUAUAAGCCUAUCUUAAAUUCAUGGGGUGGGAGAUGGAAAUUGAUUCUAUAGAUUAUAGUUAUUAGAAUGGAAUUCAAUUCUUAUAGCACGCUCUUAGACUCGCUUCUCUACAGUAGAAGUGCAGCAUACAAGUAUCUCUCCCAUAUCACCAACUAUAAUAUACAACUAUAUUCCACAUACAAUUAUAUUAGCUUAAUUAAUUUGUGUCUAAAUUAUGAUUAUUAGGAUGGAAUUCAAUUCCAAUGAUCCAAACGGGGCCUAAGGGAGUAUAUGAAUUUGUGGGCAAUAGGUUCAUUGUUGGGAUCUACCCAAACCAUGGAUAUGGAGAUGACUAGAAAAAAUGAAUUUGGAAGAAUAUGUGUGGCAGCCCUUAACCCCUUGCUUAUCCCCUCACAUUUAGAUGUGGUGAUAGGGGAUCACUACUUUGAACUAGAAUUUGAGGUGGAAAGGAGGGGACUGAUGAGAAUGGAGAGGAAGCAAAUUUUGAUUGGAAGGGAGAUGCAGAAGGAGAGGAUGAGGGAGAGGGCAGUGAGGAUGGCUUAUUGCAGGAUGACCCAGAUAUGAUCAGGGAAAUAAAAAGAAGGAAAAAUGAUAGUGAGGUCAAGGAGAAGGAAGAUAGCAGUACAGAAUAUAGGCAGGAGGAGCAGGGAUGGACAGAUAAAGAAUCAUGGAAAGAUAAAGUUCAGAAGAUGAGUGAAAUGGAGUUUAAUCUAUUUCUUAAGGAAAAGGCAGAAGAAAUAAUGGAUAGAGCAGUGGACAAAACUUUGGAGGUUUUGACAGAUCAGGUUAUGACUGACCAGAAUGAAAAUAAUGAGGGGAAGAGCAGCUGGGAGGAGGAAGAGGGAACAGAUGAACUGAAGAAGAGGGCUGCAAUUCAUGAGACAGUAAUGACGCCAACAAGGGUUAGUCCAAGGUUGGCUAACUCAGGAGAUGAGCAUAUUCUUGCUAAGACAGAGAAGAUGGCUGCUAGGAAAAAUCUGGAGCUCAAAGAAGGUAAUUAUGAAACUGAAGUCUCCUUUCAUUUUCCUUUAGAUAAUGUUAUCUGUAAUGUUAGUCAACUAGGGGUUAGGUUGGGAGAGAGUGAAAAAGAGAAGGAAAGGGUAGUACAAGAAAUUCUCACAGUACAAAAGAAAGACAUAGAUCUGCCUGUAGAGGUAAAUAAUCAAGAUGAGAGUAACCUGUACAGUGACAUGGAGGAGGAGAGGGAAGAAAUAGAAAGUAGUCAAAUUCAGAACCUUUGUGGGGAACUUUUGGAAAAGGUUUUUGACGAUGAUUUUAGUUACAUGGAUUUUUACUCUAAGAUGGGUAAUCACAAGUCUUGUGCUAAGUCACGAAAGAGAAAGACUUGUAAGGUCAGACUACCCAAAGUCAAUAUCGAUAUGGUUUCCAAAUGAGAGGAAUCUUCUGGAACAGCAGAGGUCUUAGUGACUUGGCUAAAAAAAGAUUCCUUUUAGAAACAUCUAAAGAGCAGAACUUAGCUUUCAUUGCUCUUCUAGAAACAGGAAAAAGAGACUUUACCCAAGCCACUCUAAGUAAUUUGUGUGGGGGGAAAAACUUUAUCUGGCAUUGGACUGAACCACAUGGAAGAUCAGGGGGUAUCCUCCUAGGUGUGGAUCUAGAUGAGUUAGACGUUGGUAGUAUUGAUGAAGGAGACUUUUAUGUGAAGUUCAAAGUAAGGACAAGAAAAGAUAAUUUCCAGUUUGUGUUGGUGGCUGUUUAUGGAGCAGCACAACCAGCUUUUAAAGAAGCUUUCUUGACCGAAAUGGUGCAGGCCUGUAGAAAAGAGAACCUUCCUAUUGUCCUUGGGGGAGAUUUUAACAUCAUAAGAAACCCAAGUGAAAAGAACAAUGAAAGGUACGAAGACAAAUGACCCUUUCUUUUUAACGCUAUCAUAGAUAGCUUAAAUUUAAAGGAGAUACAUAUGUCAGGAAGAAAGUACACUUGGGCUAAUUCCUUAAAAAAUCCAACAUAUGAGAAAUUGGAUAGGGUGUUGGUUAGUACAGAGUGGGAAGAGAAAUUUCCUUUAGCUACGGUUGAUGCAUUGAGCAGGGAAAUCUCAGAUCAUACACCCUUAUUGCUUAGUACUGGACAGGAAGGGGUGAGAAGGAGCCAACACAUGUUUAAGUUUGAACUAAGCUGGCUUUUGAGGAAAGAUUUCCUUGAGAUAGUAGCUGAUGUGUGGAGUAAGGAAAGAAAAGGUUCCAAUCCUAUGCAGAAAUGGCAAAAUAAGAUUAGGAGGUUAAGGCAAUUUCUGAGAGGAUGGGCUAAAAACCUAAACGGGAAGUAUAAAAAAGAAAAACAGGAGCUACUUAAAAGGGCAAAUGAGCUAGAUAAAAAGGCUGAAUCACAGCUGCUAAGUCAGCAAGAAAGUAAUUUAAAGAAUUGCAUUCAAGAUAGACUAGUUCAGCUCCUGAGAGAAGAAGAAAUAAGAUGGUAUCAAAGGGCAAAAAGCAAUAAGCUACUGAAUGGAGAUAACAACACAAAAUAUUUUCAUAUGGUAGCCAAUGGCAAACACAGGAAAACAAGAAUUUUUAGACUGGAACAGGAUGAGAGCAUUAUAGAAGGGGAUGAUAAUCUUAAAAAUUACAUAACUAAAUAUUAUAAAGAACUAUUUGGAUCUCAAUAAAGGAACAUUUGUUCUAUGAACGAAUCCUUGACAGAGGAUAUCCCUCAAGUAUCAAGAGAAGAAAAUGAAAUCUUGACUGAAAAAUUCACAGAAAAGGAGGUCAGAGAAGCUAUCUUUCAAAUGAAGCAUAACAAAGCUCCGGGACCUGAUGGAUUCCCAGUGGAGUUUUACCAAGUAUUCUGGAGUCUCAUUAAAGAUGAUCUAAUGGCCAUGUUUGAAGACUUCCACAAAGGUAAUCUACCACUAUAUUGUUUAAACUUUGGGAUAAUAACUCUAAUCCCAAAACUCCAGGAAGUGAAAAUGAUCCAACAGUAUAGACCAAUAUGUAUGUUAAAUGUCAAUUUCAAAAUCUUCACAAAAGUGAUGGCCAAUACGUUUUCUCUGGUGGCUGAAAAAGUCAUCGCGCCAUCACAGACUGCUUUUAUGCCUGGGAGGUACAUAAUGGAAGGGGUAGUAGUACUUCAUGAAACUAUACAUGAGUUAAGCAGGAAAAAGCAAGAUGGAAUCAUUCUCAAAUUGGACUUUGAGAAAGCCUAUGAUAAGGUUAAUUGGUCUUUUCUUCAACAGGCAUUAAGAAUGAAAGGCUUCUCCUCAAAAUGGUGUGAGUGGAUAGAAAGUAUAGUCAGUAAGGGAAGUGUGGGGGUAAAGGUAAAUGAUGAUAUUGGACAUUUCUUCCAGACAAAAAAAGGUCUUAGACAGGGUGAUCCAUUAUCGCCAAUGCUAUUUAAUAUAGCAGCAGACAUGUUGGCUGUUCUUAUUGCUAGAGCAAAACAUAGCAACCAAAUAAAGGGCCUAGUGCCACAUCUCGUAGAUGAAGGAUUAUCUAUCCUCCAGUACGCAGAUGACACAAUACUCUUCAUGGAAAAUGAUUUAGAGUAGGCAAGAAACUUGAAAGUGGUGCUAAGUACUUUUGAACAACUUUCAGGCCUCAAAAUUAAUUUCCAUAAGAGUGAAUUGUAUUGUUUUGGGGAGGCAAAAAACCAAGUUAAGGUUUAUGUAGAGACAUUUGGGUGCAAGGAAGGAACACUACCAUUUAGAUAUCUUGGAAUUCCAAUGAUGCAUCGCAGAAUUGCAAAAAAGGAUUGGAAAAUGACUGAAGAAAGGUUCCAGAAAAAAUUAGCAAGCUGGAAGGGCAAAUUAAUGUCAGUGGGAGGCAGGUUAGUACUGAUAAAUUCUGUCCUCUCAAGUUUACCAAUAUUUAUGAUGUCCUUUUUUAGAAUACCUAAAGGUGUUCUUAAAAGAUUGGAUUAUUAUAGAUCUCGUUUCUUCUGGCAAAGUGAUGAACACAAAAAGAAAUUUAGGUUGGCCAAAUGGAGUAUCCUUUGUGCACCUAAGAAUGUAGGAGGUUUGGGUAUCUCCAAUCUGGAGGUUCUAAAUAGGUGCUUGCUAAGCAAGUGGUUAUUUAAACUUCUAAAUGAGGAUGGAGUAUGACAAACUUUGCUUAGAAAGAAAUACUUGGUGAACAAGACUCUAACUCAAGUGACAAGGAAGAGGGGAGAUUCACAGUUCUAGGCGGGCCUCAUGGAAAUAAAGGAUCAGUUCCUGUCAAUGGGAACAUUUGAGGUGCACAAUGGAGAAAAAACUAGGUUCUGGGAAGACGUUUGGAUGGGAAAGACAACUUUGAGGGAAAGAUAUGCAUCCCUGUAUAACCUAGUGAGAAGGAAAGAUGACACAGUGGCCAAAGUAUGUGGAUCUGCCCCUCUAAAUGUUUCUUUCAGAAGAGCAUUAACAGGGCACAGAUUGGAAGAAUGGCUAAAAUUAGUGGCUGAUAUUAUAAGUCAUGGUACAGACAGGCAGGAAGACAGAUUUAUUUGGAAUAUGAAUAAAAACAAAGUUUUCUCAGUGAAAUCAAUGUACAGAGAAAUAAUGCAAGCUGAAAGAACACCAUCCAUGUGUGUUGCUUGGAAGUUAAAACUUCCAUUAAAAAUCAAGAUCUUUUUAUGGUAUUUAAAGAAAGGGGUGAUUUUAACAAAGGACAACCUCGCUAAAAGGAGAUGGCAGGGAAGUACCAAUUGUUGCUUCUGCAGAUCAAAAGAGACAGUGCAACAUCUCUUCUUUGAUUGUAAUCUUGCCAGAUUCAUAUGGAGUACGGUUUUCUUUUCGUUUGGAAUUCAACCACCGACGAGUGUUCCUAAUAUGCUGGGAUCUUGGGCUAGAGGGUUUCCUCGGAAGAUUAGAAACCAGAUGAUUAUAGGAGCUGCUGCUCUUUGUUGGGCCAUGUGGUUGAACAGAAACGAUGUACUGUUUAAAGGCACGAUCACUAAUUCCUUCUUGCAGGUAAUCUUCAGAGGGACCUAUAGGACAAGAACAUGGGCGGUGCUAUCAAAGGAGGAAGAGAAAAAUGAAAUGAAGAACAACUGUAGCAGGUUCGAAGGCACUGCCUUGGAAUUCUUCUCCAAUAAGUAUGGCUGGAACUUCAGACGAAGAAUACUUCAGUAACAGGAUUUCAUCUAGGCACCGGAGAAGAUCUUAGAGUCCUAUCUAGUGCUUAGGAGUCGUGUUAGUGUUCCUGUCUUUGGAGUGAAUUGUGUCUUCAAGGGUAGUACUGCUAGAACAGCCUAAGUGCUGAGUUUCUGUAUUUGUGGUGUUAGUUUGGCUGCAGGCAUCCACUCGUGGAUGACCGAGGCCGGAUUCUUUCCUUUAUCUAAAAAAAUAAUUAGAAGACUAAACUCCAGUCCUCUUUAUCGUCCAUGCUUUGUCCUUGCGUUGUCUUCAUGGUCGUCAAGCCAUCACAUCUUUCGUCUGCUUAGAAACUUGAUGCUGAACUUGGAAUACUUAUCUUCUAUCGCUCGCACAACAGACUCCGUCAUAGGUAAUGAAGGUCAGACCGAAGGGCUUCGAAGGCGAAGCCUCCAAGGACACGAUGAAGAUGUCGUCACUGCCCAUCUGGCAAGCCAGAUUAAGGUUUUCACCUAGAAGACCAUUGACACUGCAGAGAGCAUCACAACAAACGCCUCAACGGAGGGAAACGACGCCUGUAUACCCGCUUCACUCUUCACAUUCACCCAGCCACACACGCCCGUGCACGCGUACGCCGCACUGCAUCCGCCCGGUCGGUGCGCCGUGCGCCCCUACCCUCGCGCAUCCGCCCGCGCACGUCCCUCUCGAUCGUCGUCGUCGAGGAAGCACGCUGGCGCGGCUGCGGGCGGCGUUCCUGGCGGUGAUCACGCACAGGCGCCGCCGCCGGCAGCUGGGGUCGUGCGUGACAGGCACCAUCUUCGGCCGGCGGCGCGGGCGCACGUCGCGCUGCAGACGGACCCGCGCUCCGCGCCCGUGCUGCUGGUGGACUCCACCGGCGCGCUCGUCAUCAGGCUGGGAGAUGUCCUCGGGCCUCGUGCACCUCACGCUCGAGUGCGAGAAGACGUAGCUCGCCGCCGGUACGUACACUGUGUCACACCGUACCGACUAACGUGGCACAUAAACACAAAACAUGCACGGCGCCAAAUGAUUUGACUCCACUUCUGCUUCUGCACCGGGAAGGGUUUAUCAAUGACACGCCCAAAAAAUGCAUGCAGGGGAGAAGCAGCGAGGCCAAGUGCGGGUUCGCGGUGCGCCGGGAGUGCGGCGCGGACGAGUGGAGGGUGCUCGGCGCGGUCGAUCCGGUGUCCGUGGGCGCCGGCGUGCUCCCUAGCCGGCGCCGCGGUGGGCGACCUGAUGUACAUGCGGGGAAGGUUCGAGCGCGUGGUUGGGCUCCAGGAACUCGGAGGCGUUCUACAUGAUGAACCCUGACGGCAGCGGCGGCCCUGAUAUCGGUCGGCUGUGCUUCGAAUAAGCCGCAGCCGGCUUUUUUUACUAUUUGAACAGUAGAGAAGUAAAAAAAAAGAACCGGCUGCGGUUUAUUUCUGCAAAGUUCUAAGGGGGCUUCUGCAAAUAACAAGUUUGUGCAAUUUGUAUUUUUAGUGAUGCAGUAUGUGUGGAUGCGAACAGAAUACCCUGGAAAAUUGCCACGUUCUGAUUCAAAUUCGUGGGAGAGAGACUUGACAGCAGUAUAUGUGUAUAUAUGUAGUUGAUAACCAAUGGCCUUAAUAUGGGCAGUAUAUAUGUAGUUUACAACGGGACGCCCAGGUAUGUGAUUGGGAAUUGACUUAAAAAUCUAGCAUGGUAAAACUGCUUGGAUUUCACGCAGAGUUGCAUCAGCACCGAAGAUUGGCACUUGGACAGGUUUGUCCACAGCCCAGAGGACUUGAUGGCCGCGUGGUUGUAGCGGACCUUGCUCACUCGCCUUCCCAAACAACCUGUUGAGUACAUCCAUCACUAGGAUGAACAACGUUGGCGACAGAGGUUCGCCUUGGUAGAAAGGAUCAGGGCAAUUCAGCCUCAUUAAUUUUUAUAUGUCUACCAGAUGCUAUACAAGCUAGGUUUUAAAUUAAUGCUCAUCUGGGGCUCAACGAUACAUCUGACAAGGCAGACGGUGAAUCAAGGAUCCAAUCAAACCAUUUUGUCUCCAGCAUGUACUGUGGUUUCUUUGGUGUCGGUAACUCUUUCAGACCACAUAGCAUCUGAACAACAUCUUCCAUGUUGGGGCGGUUUGCUGGAUCUUCCUGAGCGCACAGCAGCCCUACCUCCACGCACCUCUUGAUCUCCAUUAGCUGAGACUCAUCAAACAGCGCCGGAUCAAAUAACUCCUCAAUCCCUCCACUUUCCCAAGCCCUCCAAGCCUGACAAAUAAGAUAAAAGCAUUAUCUAUGCACAUGAAAGGAUCAUCAAUUGUAUUCUGGGAGUUAAAUCUGAAAGUACUUACCCAUUCAUCGAAAGGGUAUAGCUCAGGUGGUUUAAACCAUCGGAUUCUACCAACAAUCUGAAUGAGGGUGAUGCCAAAAGCGUAAACAUCGUUCUUCUUUGACACAAUACCUUCUGCAAGAUAUUCUGGAGCUACAUAUCCCCUGAAUAGUUAAGUAAAAAUGAAAUGACUGAUCAGGAGAGGCGAAGAAUGAAGAAAAACAUGUGUGCUAGUCAUGUAGGCAUGUCAGUGAAAUUAAUUAUGGAAUAAAGUCUUACAUGGUCCCUCUAAAAUUCGUAUAGGUGUCAUCACUCCCAUUGCGUAAAAUAAUAUCCGACACAUUUUCACGGGUGAUCUGAUUGUCAUUCAACACUUCAGAUAUUCCAAAAUCAAUAAUCUUAGGAUUCAUAUCAGAAUCCAAGAGGACAUUGCUUGGUUUCAUGUCCAUGUGGAUAAUGCCUUGUUCAUGUAGGCAAUGCAUGCCCUGGGCUAUACCUUCAAUUAUCCGGAAAAGAGAGGACCAAUGAAAUUGAGGUUCUGCAAAAUAUAAAUCAUGUCACAUAGAAACUAUUGCUUAAUUAUAUACAGCAAAUUAAGUUAAUUCAGAUGAAACUUUGCCAAGAGUUAAACAAUGAUAAAUAUUUCAGUGGAAACAUGCCAUGGAUAAUAUUGUCCAAGCUUCCAUUCGGCAUGUAUUCUUCCACCCAAAAAUAUUCAUUUUUUAUGACUCGAUGUUCUUUCCAUUUAAAAAACCACACCCCCGAUGAAAAAGUUUGGACUUCUUCAUGGGCGACGUGUCCCAAAAUUUUCACUAUAUUUUUGUUCUGAAGCUUUGAAACAAGUAGAUGAAUAUCAUAAGAGCGCGCCCAGCUCAAGUCAGGUGACUCCAAAAAUGUCUUGAUGGACACCUCAUUUCCAUCAUUUAAGACACCCUGAAAAUCAUAAAACGUAAAGUUAGAUGAUGAGUUUAUGCUUCUAAAAUAAAACAAGAACUAUAGUCAUCCUGUCUGAAUAUAUAUAUAUAUAUAUAUAUAUAUAUAUAUAUAUAUAUAUAUAUAUAUAUAUAUAUAUAUAUAGACACACACAAACAGAGGUCUGUGGUGCUAUCCAACGAUGACGAAGAGUGCCACGCCAAUUCAACAUGAUCUCAUCAACAUGAUGUAUCAUGUCAACAAUAAGGGGUGGGCAAUUAGUUCAUACAGUUAUUAACUUAUUAAGGUUCAUUUUUUAAAAAAAAGUGGUAUUUAGUGGAAGUAUUAUAGUUUGGUUUUUUGUUAUUCUUUUUAACCGAAAUUAUACAUCUCAAUAAAACCUGCUUUUUGAGAAAAUUCAUUGAUAUGAAUGGGAUUUUGUCAUGUCAUUUUAUUUUAUGGCUGUAUUAAAAAAUAUUAUAGUUUGGUUAUAUCAAUGAUCAUAUGAAUAAUCCAAAAUAAAAUAAGCACACCUUGUAGACAGUAGAAUGACCACCGCGUCCAAUGAUCUUGUCGUAAGCAAAGUUGUUUGUAGCGGCCCUCAACUCAGAUAACUCGUACUCUCUGAAGGCUGAUAGUAGGCAAAUAAAUGUAUUCAAAUGUGAACUGUAGCCAUAAUAUUCAAUUGUCUGAUGGAGAAAAGUGGUAAAUACUGAUAGAUUUGAACAGAAGAUGUGAUGGACACUGAUAAUGACAUGAAACUUACGUGGUAAUAAGGGCACUCUGCUUCCUGCUAGUACGUUGUUCCUCCCACCAUUCAAUUCAGAUGUGCCAUGUCCAUCAAAAACUCUAAAAGCAGAGGGAUAUUGUAAUGCUUCCAUGUAACUAAUCAAUCAAAAUGGAUAAAAGCUAGUAGAGCUGCAAUUCAGAAAUCCCUAGCCAUUUAAUUUCCUACAGUUGUGGUUUAAUACUCAAAGCUCAAUGACGUAAAAGCUCAGUUGAAGAACAAAAACUGGUUCCCAUUACAUAGAGUUGGAUUCUUUCCAACCACCAACAUGGGCAAAUAAGCUACAGGUGACAAUUUCUUAGUCGAUGAAUUGUAAAAUAAAAUUUUCAACUGGCACUGGACAAUACUUACAAUUUUAAAAGUUCCGGUAUAAUUCUGUAUCUCAUCAGAUUAUAGUGCCAUAAACAAGAUGGACAGAAUGGCACCGUAUAUAUCUGACCUGGCAUAGUUAGUUGAAUACCUGUUAUGUGAUGCCUCCGUCACUCCUGUAACCUGAAAUAGGAAAAGAUUCACUUUUUUAUCCUAGUGAAGCUUGUAUAAAAAAAUAUUUACUUUUUCUACGUGGCACAAUGUUCAUGCUGGGGAAAGGUGCAACAACCACGAGACAAUAUGGGUUCAUGCAUGUCGACUCUCGUCAUGGGAAUGUAGCAAACAGUAUCGGAGAACAAAGAAUGAAAAAGGUGAUUUGGAUAUGCUAAGAACUAACAAGAUGUUUCUAAUCGAAUUCAAACUUAAAUUAUAAUUAUUACUUUUGGUAGUAUAUAUUGAACUAUCCACCUAGAUAUUUUACUAAAAUAUAAGGAUAAUUUAUCAUUGUAGAAAAAACUCACAAACAAAAUGUACAUUGCUAAUAAAAAAUAAUAAAUAUAUUCCUACUAAAAAUGUAUAAACCUUUAUAUUGGUUUAGUUUUUACCCCAAAAUAUUUUUUAUGUGUAAGGUAUUCCCUUUUCUCAUGAAUUCACGUUUUAAAAAGAUACGCCACAAAACAUUAUGAUAUCUUAAUUUACAAUGACAUGACUAAACACGACUAUUUGCAUCCAUUUAUUUUAAAAUAAAAAUACCUAAAAAAGUUAUAAAAAGCUAGCUACCCGCGCUAUUUGCGCAUGCCAUCUUGCUACUUCUACUAAGACUAGAAAGGAGUCAAAGAAAACUCCUACAACCUUUAUUCGGGCAAAAAAUAGUUAUAAAGAGGUUCGCCCAGGACUUGCGACCAAAAUUAAAAUUGCAUCAGGGUCAUAUGCAAUUACACCUGCUUGCAUGGUGAGACGGAGAAAUGCAUCGGAUCGGACUAUCUAUACUAAUGAUGUAAUUAUUACCUCUUGCUGCCGGAGCAGAGGAUGGCCACCAGCCUGGAUAGUGAGCAACAAAAUGGUGGUGUGGGCAUUGAUAGCGAAGGACGCCAGCAUCACUUUGUUCAGGAUGUCAUCCUUCACCCGGCGCAGCUGCUUGGACAGCUCCCCUGCUGAGAUGAGGCGGCGGACGGUGCUCCUCUCCUGGCAGGCCAUGACGAGCUCGAGGGCGUGCUGGAGGCUCUCCUCCAGAUCCUCCAGCGCGCCGCUCAGCGCCGGGCUAUCAUUCAUCAAACCUGUUUGCUGCAGCU